UACAGAGGGUGCAAGCGUUAAUCGGAUUUACUGGGCGUAAAGCGCGCGUAGGCGGCUAAUUAAGUCAAAUGUGAAAUCCCCCGAGCUUAACUUGGGAAUUGCAUUCGAUACUGGUUAGCUAGAGUGUGGGAGAGGAUGGUAGAAUUCCAGGUGUAGCGGUGAAAUGCGUAGAGAUCUGGAGGAAUACCGAUGGCGAAGGCAGCCAUCUGGCCUAACACUGACGCUGAGGAGCGAAAACAUGGGGAGCGAACAGG
rnacentral:rRNA from 1 species